rnacentral:rRNA from 1 species
AGAGUUUGAUCCUGGCUCAGGAUGAACGCUAGCGGCAGGCUUAACACAUGCAAGUCGAGGGGCAGCAUAAUGGAUAGCAAUAUCUAUGGUGGCGACCGGCGCACGGGUGCGUAACGCGUAUGCAACCUACCUUUAACAGGGGGAUAACACUGAGAAAUUGGUACUAAUACCCCAUAAUAUCAUAGAAGGCAUCUUUUAUGGUUGAAAAUUCCGAUGGUUAGAGAUGGGCAUGCGUUGUAUUAGCUAGUUGGUGAGGUAACGGCUCACCAAGGCGACGAUACAUAGGGGGACUGAGAGGUUAACCCCCCACACUGGUACUGAGACACGGACCAGACUCCUACGGGAGGCAGCAGUGAGGAAUAUUGGUCAAUGGACGCAAGUCUGAACCAGCCAUGCCGCGUGCAGGAUGACGGCUCUAUGAGUUGUAAACUGCUUUUGUACUAGGGUAAACUCACCUACGUGUAGGUGACUGAAAGUAUAGUACGAAUAAGGAUCGGCUAACUCCGUGCCAGCAGCCGCGGUAAUACGGAGGAUUCAAGCGUUAUCCGGAUUUAUUGGGUUUAAAGGGUGCGUAGGCGGUUUGAUAAGUUAGAGGUGAAAUGUUAGGGCUCAACCCUGAAACUGCCUCUAAUACUGUUGGACUAGAGAGUAGUUGCGGUAGGCGGAAUGUAUGGUGUAGCGGUGAAAUGCUUAGAGAUCAUACAGAACACCGAUUGCGAAGGCAGCUUACCAAACUAUAUCUGACGUUGAGGCACGAAAGCGUGGGGAGCAAACAGGAUUAGAUACCCUGGUAGUCCACGCAGUAAACGAUGAUAACUCGUUGUCGGCGAUACACAGUCGGUGACUAAGCGAAAGCGAUAAGUUAUCCACCUGGGGAGUACGUUCGCAAGAAUGAAACUCAAAGGAAUUGACGGGGGCCCGCACAAGCGGAGGAACAUGUGGUUUAAUUCGAUGAUACGCGAGGAACCUUACCCGGGCUUGAAUUGCAGAGGAAGGAUUUGGAGACAAU